rnacentral:rRNA from 1 species
GGGUUGUGAGGUUAAGCGACUAAGCGUACACGGUGGAUGCCCUGGCAGUCAGAGGCGAUGAAGGACGUGCUAAUCUGCGAAAAGCGUCGGUAAGGUGAUAUGAACCGUUAUAACCGGCGAUGUCCGAAUGGGGAAACCCAGUGUGAUUCGUCACACUAUCGUUAACUGAAUACAUAGGUUAACGAGGCGAACCGGGGGAACUGAAACAUCUAAGUACCCCGAGGAAAAGAAAUCAACCGAGAUUCCCCCAGUAGCGGCGAGCGAACGGGGAGCAGCCCAGAGUCUGAAUCAGCUUGUGUGUUAGUGGAACGGUCUGGAAAGUCCGACGGUACAGGGUGAUAGUCCCGUACACCAAAAUGCACAGGUUGUGAACUCGAAGAGUAGGGCGGGACACGUGGUAUCCUGUCUGAAUAUGGGGGGACCAUCCUCCAAGGCUAAAUACUCCUGACUGACCGAUAGUGAACCAGUACCGUGAGGGAAAGGCGAAAAGAACCCCGGCGAGGGGAGUGAAAAAGAACCUGAAACCGUGUACGUACAAGCAGUGGGAGCACCUUCGGGUGUGACUGCGUACCUUUUGUAUAAUGGGUCAGCGACUUAUAUUCUGUAGCAAGGUUAACCGUAUAGGGGAGCCGCAGGGAAACCGAGUCUUAACUGGGCGUUAAGUUGCAGGGUAUAGACCCGAAACCCGGUGAUCUAGCCAUGGGCAGGUUGAAGGUUGGGUAACACUAACUGGAGGACCGAACCGACUAAUGUUGAAAAAUUAGCGGAUGACUUGUGGCUGGGGGUGAAAGGCCAAUCAAACCGGGAGAUAGCUGGUUCUCCCCGAAAGCUAUUUAGGUAGCGCCUCGUGAACUCAUCUUCGGGGGUAGAGCACUGUUUCGGCUAGGGGGUCAUCCCGACUUACCAACCCGAUGCAAACUACGAAUACCGAAGAAUGUUAUCACGGGAGACACACGGCGGGUGCUAACGUCCGUCGUGAAGAGGGAAACAACCCAGACCGCCAGCUAAGGUCCCAAAGUCAUGGUUAAGUGGGAAACGAUGUGGGAAGGCACAGACAGCCAGGAUGUUGGCUUAGAAGCAGCCAUCAUUUAAAGAAAGCGUAAUAGCUCACUGGUCGAGUCGGCCUGCGCGGAAGAUGUAACGGGGCUAAACCAUGCACCGAAGCUGCGGCAGCGACACUAUGUGUUGUUGGGUAGGGGAGCGUUCUGUAAGCCUGCGAAGGUGUGCUGUGAGGCAUGCUGGAGGUAUCAGAAGUGCGAAUGCUGACAUAAGUAACGAUAAAGCGGGUGAAAAGCCCGCUCGCCGGAAGACCAAGGGUUCCUGUCCAACGUUAAUCGGGGCAGGGUGAGUCGACCCCUAAGGCGAGGCCGAAAGGCGUAGUCGAUGGGAAACAGGUUAAUAUUCCUGUACUUGGUGUUACUGCGAAGGGGGGACGGAGAAGGCUAUGUUAGCCGGGCGACGGUUGUCCCGGUUUAAGCAUGUAGGCUGGUUGUCCAGGCAAAUCCGGAUAAUCAAGGCUGAGGUGUGAUGACGAGGCACUACGGUGCUGAAGUAACAAAUGCCCUGCUUCCAGGAAAAGCCUCUAAGCAUCAGGUAACAUUAAAUCGUACCCCAAACCGACACAGGUGGUCAGGUAGAGAAUACCAAGGCGCUUGAGAGAACUCGGGUGAAGGAACUAGGCAAAAUGGUGCCGUAACUUCGGGAGAAGGCACGCUGGUGUGUAGGUGAAGUCCCUGCGGAUGGAGCUGAGACCAGUCGAAGAUACCAGCUGGCUGCAACUGUUUAUUAAAAACACAGCACUGUGCAAACACGAAAGUGGACGUAUACGGUGUGACGCCUGCCCGGUGCCGGAAGGUUAAUUGAUGGGGUUAUCCGUAAGGAGAAGCUCUUGAUCGAAGCCCCGGUAAACGGCGGCCGUAACUAUAACGGUCCUAAGGUAGCGAAAUUCCUUGUCGGGUAAGUUCCGACCUGCACGAAUGGCGUAAUGAUGGCCAGGCUGUCUCCACCCGAGACUCAGUGAAAUUGAACUCGCUGUGAAGAUGCAGUGUACCCGCGGCAAGACGGAAAGACCCCGUGAACCUUUACUAUAGCUUGACACUGAACAUUGAGCCUUGAUGUGUAGGAUAGGUGGGAGGCUUUGAAGCGUGGACGCCAGUCUGCGUGGAGCCAACCUUGAAAUACCACCCUUUAAUGUUUGAUGUUCUAACGUUGGCCCCUUAUCGGGGUUGCGGACAGUGUCUGGUGGGUAGUUUGACUGGGGCGGUCUCCUCCCAAAGCGUAACGGAGGAGCACGAAGGUUAGCUAAUCCUGGUCGGACAUCAGGAGGUUAGUGCAAUGGCAUAAGCUAGCUUGACUGCGAGCGUGACGGCGCGAGCAGGUGCGAAAGCAGGUCAUAGUGAUCCGGUGGUUCUGAAUGGAAGGGCCAUCGCUCAACGGAUAAAAGGUACUCCGGGGAUAACAGGCUGAUACCGCCCAAGAGUUCAUAUCGACGGCGGUGUUUGGCACCUCGAUGUCGGCUCAUCACAUCCUGGGGCUGAAGUAGGUCCCAAGGGUAUGGCUGUUCGCCAUUUAAAGUGGUACGCGAGCUGGGUUUAGAACGUCGUGAGACAGUUCGGUCCCUAUCUGCCGUGGGCGCUGGAGAAUUGAGGGGGGCUGCUCCUAGUACGAGAGGACCGGAGUGGACGCAUCACUGGUGUUCGGGUUGUCAUGCCAAUGGCACUGCCCGGUAGCUAAAUGCGGAAGAGAUAAGUGCUGAAAGCAUCUAAGCACGAAACUUGCCCCGAGAUGAGUUCUCCCUGAGACUUUAAGUCUCCUGAAGGAACGUUAAAGACGAUGACGUUGAUAGGCCGGGUGUGUAAGCGCAGCGAUGCGUUGAGCUAACCGGUACUAAUGAACCGUGAGGCUUAACCUUACAACGCCGAAG